AAUAGAUACCCAGGUAGUCCACGCCGUAAACGAUGAGUGCUAAGUGUUGGGGGGUUUCCGCUCCUCAGUGCUGCAGCUAACGCAUUAAGCACUCCGCCUGGGGAGUACGGUCGCAAGACUGAAACUCAAAGGAAUUGACGGGGGCCCGCACAAGCGGUGGAGCAUGUGGUUUAAUUCGAAGCAACGCGAAGAACCUUACCAGGUCUUGACAUCCCGGUGACCACUAUGGAGACAUAGUUUCCCCUUCGGGGGCAACGGUGACAGGUGGUGCAUGGUUGUCGUCAGCUCGUGUCGUGAGAUGUUGGGUUAAGUCCCGCAACGAGCGCAACCCUUAUUCUUAGUUGCCAUCAUUCAGUUGGGCACUCUAAGGAGACUGCCGGUGAUAAACCGGAGGAAGGUGGGGAUGACGUCAAAUCAUCAUGCCCCUUAUGACCUGGGCUACACACGUGCUACAAUGGACGGUACAAACGGUUGCCAACCCGUGAGGGGGAGCUAAUCCGAUAAAACCGUUCUCAGUUCGGAUUGUAGGCUGCAACUCGCCUAC
rnacentral:rRNA from 1 species